CCCUGGAAUUGACAAUAAAAACAGUAUUACAUUUAAAUAGCCAAGUUAUAAAAUAGCCAAAUAAAUAUAUGUACGGAAUACUAGGGUGAGGAAAAGAAGAAAGGGAAGUUAACAGAAGUGGCAGAUGAGAGAGUUCAGGGGAAGAAGAGGAAAAAAUAAAAAGAAAACUGUACUGAAUAAGGAUGUGGAUUAGGAUUCAGGUACCAAUAAUUGAGAACCGCAACCAACAGUAUUAUUUUCAAUGAGGUAUUCUGCUGCUAAUUCUUCUGCACUUCCACCAAUUUCACCAAUCAUGAUGAUUCCUUCACAAUCUGGAUCUUUAAGGAAUACUUCCAAACAAUCUAUAAAGUCUGUCCCAUUAAAUGGAUCUCCACCAAUUCCAAUACACAAAGUCUGCCCAAGACCGGCCUUAAAAGAUAAAGUUUUUAUUACAUUUU